rfam:Schistosoma rodhaini strain Burundi genome assembly, scaffold: SROB_scaffold0000147
AUCCAGCUCAUGAGUCCCAAAUAAGACGAAAUGCGUGUUCUGGAU